UGUUAAAACUUUCAUCGAUUUUAUAGGGUUAAAAAUUAAUAUGUUUGACAGAAUAACUAGACAGUGACACGUGACAUGUGACAUGUCACGUUUACAUCAUGUUGAAGUACAAGGGACCAAUUAUUAACAGAAAAAUGGAUGGAACUUUUAACA
rfam:Gossypium hirsutum cultivar TM-1 chromosome 26, whole genome shotgun sequence